rnacentral:rRNA from 1 species
CGCGUAGGUAAUCUGCCUUUGGGUCUGACAUAACUCCGAGAAAUCGAAGCUAAUAUCAGAUGAUGCAGCGGCUUGACAUCAAGACAGUUGUUAAAGCUUCGGCGCCCAGAGAUGAGCCUGCGUCCCAUUAGGUAGUUGGCGGAGUAAUAGCCCACCAAGCCCACGAUGGGUAGCUGGUCUGAGAGGAUGAUCAGCCACACUGGAGCUGAGACACGGUCCAGACUCCUACGGGAGGCAGCAGUAAGGAAUAUUGCUCAAUGGCCGAAAGGCUGAAGCAGCAACGCCGCGUGAAGGAUGAAG